rnacentral:rRNA from 1 species
CCUACGGGUGGCAGCAGUGAGGAAUAUUGGUCAAUGGACGAGAGUCUGAACCAGCCAAGUAGCGUGAAGGAUGACUGCCCUAUGGGUUGUAAACUUCUUUUAUAUGGGAAUAAAAUGUUCCACGUGUGGUAUUUUGUAUGUACCAUAUGAAUAAGGAUCGGCUAACUCCGUGCCAGCAGCCGCGGUAAUACGGAGGAUCCGAGCGUUAUCCGGAUUUAUUGGGUUUAAAGGGAGCGUAGGUGGGUUGUUAAGUCAGUUGUGAAAGUUUGCGGCUCAACCGUAAAAUUGCAGUUGAAACGGGCAUCAGUGAGGACAGGAGAGGGAGGCUGAAUUCGUGG